rnacentral:rRNA from 1 species
AGGGCACCACCAGGAGUGGAGCCUGCGGCUUAAUUUGACUCAACACGGGGAAACUUACCCGGCCUGGACACUGGAAGGAUUGACAGAUUGAGAGCUCUUUCUUGAUUCAGUGGGUGGUGGUGCAUGGCCGUUCUUAGUUGGUGGAGCGAUUUAUCUGGUUAAUUCCGAUAACGAACGAGACUCUAGCCUAUUAAAUAGGCUCCCGGCUUUUAAACGCCGGGAGGACUCCUUAGAGGGACAGGUGGCGGUUCAGCCGCACGAAAGAGAGCAAUAACAGGUCUGUGAUGCCCUUUGUUGUCCGGGGCCGCACGCGCGCUACACUGAAGAGAUCAGCGUGCUUUAUGUUCCUGCUCCGACCGGAGUGGGGAGCCCAGUGAACCUUCUUCGUGAUUGGGAUAGAAGAUUGUAAUUAUUCUUCUUGAACGAGGAAUUCCCAGUAAAUGCGAGUCAUAAGCUCGCGUUGAUUACGUCCCUGCCCUUUGUACACACCGCCCGUCGCUACUACCGAUUGACUAAUUA